UACGGGGGGGGCAAGCGUUGUUCGGAAUUACUGGGCGUAAAGGGCUCGUAGGUGGCCAACUAAGUCAGACGUGAAAUCCCUCGGCUUAACCGGGGAACUGCGUCUGAUACUGGAUGGCUUGAGUUCGGGAGAGGGAUGCGGAAUUCCAGGUGUAGCGGUGAAAUGCGUAGAUAUCUGGAGGAACACCGGUGGCGAAGGCGGCGGCCUGGACCGAUACUGACGCUGAGGAGCGAAAGCCAGGGGAGCAAACGGG
rnacentral:rRNA from 1 species